ensembl:snRNA U6 U6 spliceosomal RNA
GUGCUCACUUCUGCAGCACAUAUACUAAAACUGGAACAAUAUAGAGAAGAUUAGCAUGACCCCUGGGCAAGGAUGACAUGCAAAUUCGUGAAGUGUUCCAUAUUAAA